rnacentral:lncRNA from 1 species
AAAAGAAAAUGGACACCGUCACAUUUAUUGAUUCAUUGAUGUCUGUAUUUCCUCAUACUAAAAAGUAAUUGAGAUAUUGAGUGCCACUUUAAACACCAUGGUGCUAUUUCGUGGCAUCCUGUUUUUAUUAGUGGAGAAAACUAAGACCUUUAUAAGGAAAACUGACAAUCCUAGUCAAUUAAGUCUCUUAAUUUAAGAUCACACAACAAAAGGAAUAGUAAAAUAAAGAGAGAAGAAAAAAGAAAUUUUUAUACAUAC